GAGUAGGAGAAAUGAGAACCACAGGAAGGAGUAGGAGAAAGGAGGUGGUACAUAUCGUGGUCAUAUCGAGAAUAAGACAUACUGGUUUGAAAACUACACUGUUCAUGAUAGGGAAACAUAAUACAGGGAAAUGUGACUACUGUGGAGAAGAGGAAACUAGAGAACAUGUUAUAUUGUCAGAAGUAUCAGGUGGAGAAAAGACAACUGACCCGAAACCUCAGAAACAUAAAAAUGAAGCUAGAUCUUAUUGAUUUACUGCAAAUGGUCUCAAGAAGUGAAAGUUAUCAGGCCUUAAUUCAGUUUUUAAAAGAAAGUAAAUUGUUUGGGAGGAUUUGGGGUUUUUUUUUUGGUGGCGGUAAUGCAUCCUUCAGUUGUUUGCCAACCGCCAAUCAAAUUUAAAAGAAGAAGAAGAGGCGUCGAGGUGGAGGGACGAUUUAAAACUAGACAAAUAGAAACGGUGAAUUCAGCAUAAGUACCACGUUACAAUGACGAGAGAAGUGAAGGUUAAAACCCCCAGCAGGCCUCCUCCAAAAAAACCCUCCAGCAACCAGACGGACCCAGUUGGGCUUUUGGUGCAGUUUGCAGAGAUGAUGCAAGUGGAGGAAGUGGCCAGGCCAGCGGACAGACCAAUCUGUAGCGCUACUCCAGGCCGUCAUCAUAGAAACCAGGCAUUCAAAGAUGAGCUGUCUCACAGAUUGGAAGAACGCAGUGGCCCGAUAGUUCCUGGUAAAAAAAAAAAUUAAU